rnacentral:rRNA from 1 species
ACUCCUACGGGAGGCAGCAGUGGGGAAUUUUGGACAAUGGGCGCAAGCCUGAUCCAGCCAUGCCGCGUGAGGGAUGACGGCCUUCGGGUUGUAAACCUCUUUCAGUAGGGACGAAGCGAAAGUGACGGUACCUACAGAAGAAGGACCGGCCAACUACGUGCCAGCAGCCGCGGUAAU